GUAGGGAAUCUUCCGCAAUGGACGAAAGUCUGACGGAGCAACGCCGCGUGAGUGAUGAAGGCUUUCGGGUCGUAAAACUCUGUUGUCAGGGAAGAACAUCCGGGAUGACCUCCCGGUCUGACGGUACCUGAUCAGAAAGCCCCGGCUAACUACGUGCCAGCAGCCGCGGUAAUACGUAGGGGGCAAGCGUUGUCCGGAAUUAUUGGGCGUAAAGCGCGCGCAGGCGGUUUCUUAAGUCUGGUGUGAAAGCCCGCAGCUCAACUGCGGAGGGCCACUGGAAACUGGGAAGCUUGAGUGUAGGAGAGGAGAGCGGAAUUCCACGUGUAGCGGUGAAAUGCGUAGAUAUGUGGAGGAACACCCGUGGCGAAAGCGGCUCUCUGGCCUAUAACUGACGCUGAGGCGCGAAAGCGUGGGGAGCAAACAGGAUUAGAUACCCUGGUAGUCC
rnacentral:rRNA from 1 species